CGGCGACCAUAUCCAAGUGGAAACGCCCGUUCCCAUCCCGAAUACGGAAGCUAAGCGCUUGGAGCCGAUGAUAGUUGUGAAACCGCGAAAGUAGGUAUCGCCGGGU
rnacentral:rRNA from 1 species